AUUAAGUUGGCAGAAUUAUGUAAUUGACUUAGGAUCAAUAGAAAUAGGUUAAAGCCCUUUACUUAAUA
rnacentral:tRNA from 1 species